rnacentral:rRNA from 1 species
AAAAACAUAGCUUUCAAUAAAGGACCUUUGGUUUGAAGUGUUGAAGGUGAGGCCUGCCCAGUGGUUGUAUUUAAAAUUGAGUAAUAAAAUAAGUUGCUCGACUAAGAACAAUUAAAUGGCCGCGGUAACUCUGACCGCGAUAAAGUAGCGCAAUCAAUAGUCAAUUAAUUGUUGGCAAGUAUGAAUGGCUUAACGAGUAUCCCGCUGUCUCAAGAUAAAUACCAAUGAAAUUGAAUUCGUAGUGAAGAUGCUACGUGCAAAUUGUUAGACGAGAAGACCCCGUUGAGCUUUACUGGAAACUUAUAUUGUUUUUUUCAAUAAAUGGGAUUUAUGGGUAGGUAUACUACUCAAUUUUUUGGUAAUAACUAAUUAUAGGUGUAAGUAGGACAGUUUGAUUGGGGCGAUCGCCUUCUAAAGAGUAACGAAGGUGCACAUAAGGUGAAUAUUGUAAUAGAAUAGAAUAAAGGCUUGACAGUAAGAGUAAUUCUCGAGCUGACACGGUGGAUUAAACCGUGGGUUAUAGUGACCCGUUUGUUUAGGGUGGGAUAACUAACGAUCAAUAAAUAAAAGUUACCGCGGGGAUAACAGCGUAAUCUCGUUUGAGAGUUCGUAUCGAUGACGAAGUUUGCGACCU